rnacentral:tRNA from 1 species
GUAAAUAUAGUUUAAUUAAAACAUUAGAUUGUGAACCUAACUAUAGAAGCCUGCCACUUCUUAUUUACC